rnacentral:rRNA from 1 species
GUAGGUGGCAAGCGUUGUCCGGAAUUAUUGGGCGUAAAGCGCGCGCAGGUGGUUCUUUAAGUCUGAUGUGAAAGCCCCCGGCUCAACCGGGGAGGGUCAUUGGAAACUGGGGAACUUGAGUGCAGGAGAGGAAAGUGGAAUUCCACGUGUAGCGGUGAAAUGCGUGGAUAUGUGGAGGAACACCAGUGGCGAAGGCGACUUUCUGGCCUGUAACUGACACUGAGGCGCGAAAGCGUGGGGAGCAAACAGGGAUUAGAUACCCUGGUAGUCCACGCCGUAAACGAUGAGUGCUAAGUGUUGGGGGGGUUUCCCGCCCCUCAGUGCUGCAGCUAACGCAUUAAGCACUCCGCCUGGGGAUACGGUCGCAAGACUG